rnacentral:rRNA from 1 species
CCUACGGGAGGCAGCAGUGAGGAAUAUUGGUCAAUGGCCGGGAGGCUGAACCAGCCAAGUCGCGUGAGGGAAGACGGCUCUAUGGGUUGUAAACCUCUUUUGUCAGGGAGUAAAGUGUAGGACGGGUCCUGCUGUGUGAGUACCUUAUGAAAAAGCAUCGGCUAACUCCGUGCCAGCAGCCGCGGUAAUACGGAGGAUCCGAGCGUUAUCCGGAUUUAUUGGGUUUAAAGGGUGCGAAGGCGGAGGCACAAGUCAGCGGUAAAAUUCCGGGGCUCAACCCCGAUCCGCCGUUGAAACUGUGUGCCUUGAGUGCGCGAAGGGUAGGCGGAAUGCGUGGUGUAGCGGUGAAAUGCAUAGAUAUCACGCAGAACUCCGAUCGCGAAGGCAGCCUACCGGCGCGCAACUGACGCUCAUGCACGAAAGCGUGGGUAUCGAACAGGAUUAGAUACCCGUGUAGUC